GAGUGGUCCUCGGAAAAGGUUUUUGACGUCAUUGGCUAUUGGCGAGAAAAAACAUUUUGGGCGUUUUGUGGGAAUCCGCCUUUGCGGCUGAAAAAUGGGCCGCUAAUGGCCUGCUUUUCGCUAGACGGGUCCAGACCCCAGUCCGCCCGCCGAGUCGAGCAUAGGCAAUCCGCUCGCCCGUCACGCGAUUGCGAUUAAUGCCUGGACCACAAGUGAUCGUCUGGCUUUCGGGCCCGCCCGGUCAUGUCGGUGAUUCACCAGCACGUGACGGGGCGUCCCUACUGAGAGGAGUGGUUUUCUCGGUACCAAACCCGGCCCUCUAUAACCAUUGCUAUUGAUGGCUGAACGAGUAAUGAUCGCGGAUUCCUGUUCCACGUCACAGGAAAAACAAUCUUAACGAUCGUCUCAAAAUUAUAUCGCUGGAUUCCCUUGCGCCUAUGAAAAGCACACUCGUCCUCCCCUAUUUCCUUGCUGGUGAUUAAGGGAGGAGGUAAGAUAAAGAAGGGCACUGUAAUUACAGAAGGUGGAGGACGUUUUUAUUAGUUUCAAACAGAUAGUUUCACACAGGACACAGCAGGAAAAUCUGUUUGCAGGCAAGAUCGCAUGACAGUAACCACUUCACUUCAGGGGCUCUUACAGUACUUCACAUUCAAACUCAUCUGCAUUCUCUGUCUUUAUCUGUACAGUUUGAUGAAUUGUUCGUUAACCCUUAUUCUGUAAUCUUUUUUUUUUUUUUUUUUUUUGAGAAGCGAAAA